AGUGGUAUAGCCCAGUGGUAGAGCGUGUGCUUAGCAUGUGUGAGGUUCUGGGUUCAAUCCCCAGUACCUCCC
rnacentral:tRNA from 1 species